rnacentral:rRNA from 1 species
UUAAUGAGAGUUUGAUCCUGGCUCAGGACGAACGCUGGCGGCGUGCCUAAUACAUGCAAGUAGAACGCUGAAGAGAGGAGCUUGCUCUUCUUGGAUGAGUUGCGAACGGGUGAGUAACGCGUAGGUAACCUGCCUUGUAGCGGGGGAUAACUAUUGGAAACGAUAGCUAAUACCGCAUAACAAUGGAUGACACAUGUCAUUUAUUUGAAAGGGGCAAUUGCUCCACUACAAGAUGGACCUGCGUUGUAUUAGCUAGUAGGUGAGGUAACGGCUCACCUAGGCGACGAUACAUAGCCGACCUGAGAGGGUGAUCGGCCACACUGGGACUGAGACACGGCCCAGACUCCUACGGGAGGCAGCAGUAGGGAAUCUUCGGCAAUGGGGGCAACCCUGACCGAGCAACGCCGCGUGAGUGAAGAAGGUUUUCGGAUCGUAAAGCUCUGUUGUAAGUCAAGAACGAGUGUGAGAGUGGAAAAUUCACACUGUGACGGUAGCUUACCAGAAAGGGACGGCUAACUACGUGCCAGCAGCCGCGGUAAUACGUAGGUCCCGAGCGUUGUCCGGAUUUAUUGGGCGUAAAGCGAGCGCAGGCGGUUUGAUAAGUCUGAAGUUAAAGGCUGUGGCUCAACCAUAGUUCGCUUUGGAAACUGUCAAACUUGAGUGCAGAAGGGGAGAGUGGAAUUCCAUGUGUAGCGGUGAAAUGCGUAGAUAUAUGGAGGAACACCGGUGGCGAAAGCGGCUCUCUGGUCUGUAACUGACGCUGAGGCUCGAAAGCGUGGGGAGCGAACAGGAUUAGAUACCCUGGUAGUCCACGCCGUAAACGAUGAGUGCUAGGUGUUGGAUCCUUUCCGGGAUUCAGUGCCGCAGCUAACGCAUUAAGCACUCCGCCUGGGGAGUACGACCGCAAGGUUGAAACUCAAAGGAAUUGACGGGGGCCCGCACAAGCGGUGGAGCAUGUGGUUUAAUUCGAAGCAACGCGAAGAACCUUACCAGGUCUUGACAUCCCGAUGCUAUUUCUAGAGAUAGAAAGUUACUUCGGUACAUCGGUGACAGGUGGUGCAUGGUUGUCGUCAGCUCGUGUCGUGAGAUGUUGGGUUAAGUCCCGCAACGAGCGCAACCCCUAUUGUUAGUUGCCAUCAUUCAGUUGGGCACUCUAGCGAGACUGCCGGUAAUAAACCGGAGGAAGGUGGGGAUGACGUCAAAUCAUCAUGCCCCUUAUGACCUGGGCUACACACGUGCUACAAUGGUUGGUACAACGAGUUGCGAGUCGGUGACGGCAAGCUAAUCUCUUAAAGCCAAUCUC